rnacentral:snoRNA from 1 species
UUGCUGUGAUGACUAUCUUAGGACACCUUUGGAAUACCCAUGAAAAAAAUUAAGUUAUUUCUGAGCAAC